rnacentral:rRNA from 1 species
AACCUGCCCUUAGGAUUGGGAUACUCCCGAGAAAUCGGGCUCAAUACCGAAUAUGAUUCCGGGGUGAAAUGCCCAGGGAUAAAAGCUGCGAGCAAUCGUGGCGCCUGAGGAGGGACCUGCGGCCUAUCAGCUUGUUGGUGAGGUAACGGCUCACCAAGGCAAAGACGGGUAGCCGGACUGAGAGGUCGAUCGGCCACACUGGAACUGAGACACGGUCCAGACUCCUACGGGAGGCAGCAGUGGGGAAUUUUGCGCAAUGGGCGAAAGCCUGACGCAGCGACGCCGCGUGGGGGAAGAAGGCCUUCGGGUUGUAAACUCCUUUAGUACGGGAAGAAGCCGCAAGGUGACGGUACCGUAAGAAUAAGCCACGGCUAACUCUGUGCCAGCAGCCGCGGUAAGACAGAGGUGGCAAGCGU